rnacentral:rRNA from 1 species
UAGGGAAUAUCGGUAAUGGGCGAAAGCCUGAACCAGCAACGCCGCGUGUGCGAUGAAGGCCUUCGGGUCGUAAAGCACUUUUUGGAGGGAUGAGGAAGGACAGUACCUCCAGAAUAAGUCUCGGCUAACUACGUGCCAGCAGCCGCGGUAACACGUAGGAGGCAAGCGUUAUUCGGAUUUACUGGGCGUAAAGCGCGUGCAGGCGGUUCGGAAAGUUGGAUGUGAAAGCUCCUGGCUUAACUGGGAGAGGUCGUUCAAUACUUCCGGACUUGAGAGUGGGAGAGGGGGGUGGAAUUCCGGGUGUAGUGGUGAAAUGCGUAGAUAUCCGGAGGAACACCAGUGGCGAAAGCGGCCUCCUGGCCCAUUUCUGACGCUCAGACGCGAAAGCUAGGGUAGCAAACGG